GUUCAAAAAUGUCAUCAAACCUCUCAACAGCAAUAAGGAAAGUUAGAAGAUAAUGCCUUCAAAAUACAAAGGUUAAAUUCUUUGCACUCAAGACUUCUAUGUCCAGACAAACUAUCAAUAAAGUGUGAGAACAGAUUAACAGCAUUUUCAGUCAGGCAAGGACUCAAAACUUCACCUCCUAAGACAUCCUAAAGGAUGGCUAAAAUAAAAUAAAGGAGAUGAAAAAGAAGGAAUACACGGAUGUAGGAGGCAAGAAAUCUAAGACCAUGGAAGAACAGUUGUGCAAAGGCCUCGAGAGCAACCAGCCCAGACUGAAUCAGGAAUGAAGGCUCUAGGAGGGAGAUGCUGGAACGGGGUGUUUACAAUAAGCAUAUUGACAACUUUGCCUGGAAGCCUGGAAAAAUCUGGACAGGCCGCUUCACAACUCCUUCUUCAUAUUGGUGUUCCCUCUGGACUCUGUAUUCAGCUCUUACCUUUCCAUGGGGAAUCUACUCUCACUGCUAUACACAACUGAUAAAAGCUUGGGCUCUCCAGCCAGAAUGCUAGGUUCAGAAUCCAGUUCAACGACCUAACAGCUGUGUAAAAUCGUUCAUGCAACUUUUCCUCUCUUUGCUUCAAUUUCCUAUUCUGUGAAAUAAAAGAGCUGUAUUGAGGAUUAGAUAAUUGAUAUGAUACAAAUAAUGUUCAAUACAAUGUCUAGCAUGUUAAAAUGCUUAGUAAAUGGGAGUCUUUAUUUCUGAAGCAGAAUAGUAUAAAUAGUUGAGAACAUGAACACAGAGUUCAGAAUGCAUUGACUCAAAUCAAUGUUCUGCCACUUAAAAGCCGUGGAACCUCAGGCGAGUGACAUGGCCUCUCUGUGCCUCAGCUUUCUCAUCUAUAAAAUAAGAUAACAACUAAUAGCUACUUUGUGGUGUUACAGUGAUAAUUAGAUGAAUUUACAAGAGUAAAGUGCUUGGGGCAGCAUUAGGUAAGGUUUUUCUAAGUAUUAUCGAUGCUUCCAAUGUCUCCUCAGAGCUGCAUAUUUUUUCCAUUUGCAACAACUGUUACUUUGAUAUUUUAACCAGAA
rnacentral:lncRNA from 10 species